UAAUAUUAAUAUUUAAGAAAUAAAAUAAAUUAAUAAUAAUAAAUAAAAUAUUCUACUCUCUCUCAUCUUUCGUCCGACUUCCAACCAAUCAAAAAAUAAAUCAAAACUUUUACUGACCUUUUUCUACCCUCUCUCAUCUCCUAUUCUCCUAUCUUAUCUAUUAUCUAAGUCUGACUCUCUAAUGAGUCUUCUUCUCUUUCUAUAUUUUCCAUAAAAAAAAAAAUAAAAGCCUUAAAUCUACUAGAGUUUCUUUUUUCCCAUCCUUAUUCGUCUAUUUUUUUUUUCUUUCUUUAUCUUAAUCUCAUAAAGUCACAACUCACACAACUCACAAAAAUAAAUUAAAAUAAUAUCCCCUUUAUCUUCUUCAAAAAUUUCAGGUACUCUCUCCAGAUUCAAUAAUGAACUUAAACUAGAGCAGAUUCAAGAGACAAAAUUGAGUUUUGCAGAAAUUUUUUCUAUUUUCUCUCUACAUUUUUAAUGUAUUUGGUUUGUGUGGUUGUGGGAGAAUCAUUUAAUAUGUACUAUUGUUAUUUAUUUUAUUUGUGUUGUAUUAUGUUGUGUUUUAGACUUUA